rnacentral:rRNA from 1 species
UUGGAGGGCAAGUCUGGUGCCAGCAGCCGCGGUAAUUCCAGCUCCAAUAGCGUAUAUUAAAGUUGUUGCAGUUAAAAAGCUCGUAGUUGAAUUUCGGGAUUAGUACGCUGGUCGUGCCUUCGGUACGUACUGGUGUUACUGAUUUCUACCUUCUGACGAACCAUCAUGUCAUUAAUUUGGUGUGGUGGGGAAUCAGGACUGUUACUUUGAAAAAAUUAGAGUGUUUAAAGCAGGCUCGCGCUUGAAUACAUUAGCAUGGAAUAAUGAAAUAGGACGUUGAUCCUAUUUUGUUGGUUUCUAGGAUUGACGUAAUGAUUAAUAGGGAUAGUUGGGGGCAUUAGUAUUCAAUUGUCAGAGGUGAAAUUCUUGGAUUUAUUGAAGACUAACUACUGCGAAAGCAUUAGCCAAGGAUGUUUUCAUUAAUCAAGAACGAAAGUUAGGGGAUCGAAGACGAUCAGAUACCGUCGUAGUCUUAACCAUAAACUAUGCCGACUAGGGAUCGGAUGAUGUUAUUUUUAAUGACUCAUUCGGCGCCUUACGGGAAAC